rnacentral:rRNA from 3 species
AGAGUUUGAUCCUGGCUCAGGAUGAACGCUGGCUACAGGCUUAACACAUGCAAGUCGUGGGGAAACGAUUGGAGGCGCUUGCGCCUCUGAGGCGUCGACCGGCGCACGGGUGAGUAACGCGUAUCCAACCUGCCCCGCGGCAAGGGAUAAUCCGCAGAAAUGCGGUCUAAUACCUUAUGUGCUCCGAAGAGGACAUCUGAUUCGGAGCAAAGGCUUGCCGCCGCGGGAUGGGGAUGCGUCUGAUUAGAUAGUAGGCGGGGUAACGGCCCACCUAGUCGUCGAUGGGUAGGGGUUCUGAGAGGAAGGUCCCCCACAUUGGAACUGAGACACGGUCCAAACUCCUACGGGAGGCAGCAGUGAGGAAUAUUGGUCAAUGGGCGAGAGCCUGAACCAGCCAAGUAGCGUGCAGGAAGACGGCCCUAUGGGUUGUAAACUGCUUUUAUACGGGAAUAAAGUUUGCCACGUGUGGCAUUUUGCAUGUACCGUAAGAAAAAGGAUCGGCUAAUUCCGUGCCAGCAGCCGCGGUAAUACGGAAGAUCCGAGCGUUAUCCGGAUUUAUUGGGUUUAAAGGGAGCGUAGGCGGGAAUCCAAGUCAGUUGUGAAACCCUGCGGCUCAACCGUAGUCGUGCAGUUGAAACUGGAUUUCUUGAGUGCGCACAGGGCAGACGGAAUUUGUGGUGUAGCGGUGAAAUGCUUAGAUAUCACGAAGAACUCCGAUCGCGAAGGCAGUCUGCCGGGGCGCUACUGACGCUGAGGCUCGAAAGUGCGGGUAUCAAACAGGAUUAGAUACCCUGGUAGUCCGCACUGUAAACGAUGGAUACCCGUGGUCGGUUUUUUUUAUUCGGUCACCAAGCGAAAGCGUUAAGUAUCCCACCUGGGGAGUACGCCGGCAACGGUGAAACUCAAAGGAAUUGACGGGGGCCCGCACAAGCGGAGGAACAUGUGGUUUAAUUCGAUGAUACGCGAGGAACCUUACCCGGGCUUGAAUUGCAGAGGAAGUCACCGGAGACGGUGAUGUCUUUAUAGUCUCUGUGAAGGUGCUGCAUGGUUGUCGUCAGCUCGUGCCGUGAGGUGUCGGCUUAAGUGCCAUAACGAGCGCAACCCCUUUUUCCGGUUGCCAUCAGGUGAUGCUGGGCACUCCGGAGACACUGCCAUCGUAAGAUGUGAGGAAGGUGGGGAUGACGUCAAAUCAGCACGGCCCUUACGUCCGGGGCUACACACGUGUUACAAUGGCCGGUACAGAAGGCAGCUCCCACGCGAGUGGUUGCGAAUCCCGAAAGCCGGUCCCAGUUCGGACUGGAGUCUGCAACCCGACUCCACGAAGCUGGAUUCGCUAGUAAUCGCGCAUCAGCCACGGCGCGGUGAAUACGUUCCCGGGCCUUGUAC